CCACCAACUCAUGCAUUUACAACAAGAUGCUAUUUCUUUAAAACCAAAAAAGGGUAAGUUAUUCCUCGUUUUGGUAAAACUCAUGCAUCAAACAGUAAAACGUAUAAAAUCCUUAAGAAGAAAAACGUACAUGCGGUGGAGUAAAUGAUAAAGUAAGUAACCAACAACUUUUCUUUUGUUAAAUGUGACAACAAACCUUUGUCUUUCGAAGAAAUUAUAAAGAAAAAGCAAAAGGUUGAACUAAUAAUUCAGGAAAUUUCUUUUAUUUCUUAAAUAGCUAGCGCAACGAGCACUCUUACAUAAGUAGUCUUUAAUUUAAUGAUAUCUUUGUUUAGCUAGACAUUCAAAGACCAAUUCAUAGGAAUGCAACAUUCGGACUUCAUGGUGGGUGGAAUAUCUUGUUUACCAGUAUAAUACAUCCAACUAAAGAAUUUCAUGUGAAAUUGCACCAACUUUACUAUUAUGAUUGAGCUAAGAACUAUGUGCAGAGAGGACACGAUAUAGUGUCCUAUUGUUUCCCUUAAUCUAAUAAUAUUUAGCUAGACGUUUAAAGACUGACUCAUAUGAAUGUAACCUUCAAACUUUGUUUUUAGUGGAUUAUUUUGUUUGCGUGAAUCAUAUGUCGAACAAAGAAUUUCAUGUAUAAUUGCUCUCCAACUUUACUAUUGUGAUUGAGCUAAGAAUUAUGUGUAGAGAGGACACGAUAUAGUGUCCUAUUGUUUCCCUUAAUCUAAUAAUAUUUAGCUAGACGUUCAAAGACUGACUCAUAUGAAUGCGACCUUCAAACUUUGUCGUGGGUGGAUUAUCUUGUUUACGUGUAUCAUAUGUCGAACAAAGAAUUCAUGUGAAUUGCUCCAACUUUAUUAUUGUGAUUUAGCUAAGAAUUACGUGUCGGGAGGACACAAUAUAGUUUCCUAAUUUUGUUUUCUUUAAUCUAAUAAUAGUUUUCUUUAUUAGCUAGACGUUCAAAGACCAACUCAUAUGAAUGCAACAGUCAAACUUUGUUGUGUGUGGAUUAUCUUGUUUGCAUGUAUCAUACGUCGAACGAAGAACUUCAUGCGAAAUUGCUUUGACUUUAUUACAGAGAUAAAUGUUUUCAAAGGCAUGUGUAGGUGUGUGUUGGAGCUAGGCGAGAGCAAAUUGCCUCAGUAUUUAUAAUAAAUAAAGUUUUCCGUGAGUUCAGUACACGCGGAGGUCAUUUUUGCAACAUCAACUUAAAAAGUGGGACCAAUUUUUACCACAUCGGCAGUUAACAGAAUUCUUAAUGGUCUUGUUAACGGAGGGGCUUGGAUGUAGGAUUUCUGUGAGUUUGGGUAUGAGUUUGCAGGGUCUUCAAAACUUGGGUGCCAACGUGAAAUAACCCCCAAAGUGCAAGGGGUUUUAUGUAGUUGAUCCUUUUAAUUAAGAAGUUUGAUAGAAAAAGCCGUUUGUACAACAACUCUAAUCAUAGCUCUGAUUGUAAUCCUUGUUUAAUCUCUUAUUGAAUUUAGCUACUUUGCUUCUGCUUA